rnacentral:rRNA from 1 species
ACCUAUGGCCAUACCACCCUAAACACACCUAUCUCGUAUGAUCUCGGAAGCUAAGCAGGGUUGGGCCUUGUUAGUACUUGGACGGAUGGUAUAUAAUUAGUGUUUCAAAUCCUAUAGAAAACUGAAGUCUUGAAUC